rnacentral:rRNA from 1 species
CGGGUGAGUAACACGUGGGCAAUCUGCCCUUCACUCUGGGACAAGCCCUGGAAACGGGGUCUAAUACCGGAUACGACACACGACCGCAUGGUCUGUGUGUGGAAAGCUCCGGCGGUGAAGGAUGAGCCCGCGGCCUAUCAGCUUGUUGGUGGGGUGAUGGCCUACCAAGGCGACGACGGGUAGCCGGCCUGAGAGGGCGACCGGCCACACUGGGACUGAGACACGGCCCAGACUCCUACGGGAGGCAGCAGUGGGGAAUAUUGCACAAUGGGCGAAAGCCUGAUGCAGCGACGCCGCGUGAGGGAUGACGGCCUUCGGGUUGUAAACCUCUUUCAGCAGGGAAGAAGCGAGAGUGACGGUACCUGCAGAAGAAGCGCCGGCUAACUACGUGCCAGCAGCCGCGGUAAUACGUAGGGCGCAAGCGUUGUCCGGAAUUAUUGGGCGUAAAGAGCUCGUAGGCGGCUUGUCACGUCGGAUGUGAAAGCCCGGGGCUUAACCCCGGGUCUGCAUUCGAUACGGGCAGGCUAGAGUUCGGUAGGGGAGAUCGGAAUUCCUGGUGUAGCGGUGAAAUGCGCAGAUAUCAAGAGGAACACCGGUGGCGAAGGCGGAUCUCUGGGCCGAUACUGACGCUGAGGAGCGAAAGCGUGGGGAGCGAACAGGAUUAGAUACCCUGGUAGUCCA